rnacentral:lncRNA from 1 species
GUUCAUUCGGUCUUCGGCCUCAUCAACUAUCACCUCAUCAGCCCAUAAUUUAGUUGUUAAAUUUUUCGCGGUACUUUGAUCCGGCAUUCUUCUCCAAUUAGCAGAAUAGUCGAAAUAUAUUUUGUAUCCCAGAAAAACGCAAAUGGCCCUAACUCCAGAAAAAUACAAGAACAACCGAUAAGGUAACUAAGAACUUUGGCGCACCUUGUAAUAACCUCAAUGUCUCACGGCACAGUCAACGGAUGGUAAAAAGUCAACCUUGCGUCCAGGAGCGUGUUAAGAUCUCGAACAAACUAAACUAUAAUCAUGGCAGGUCUCAUCUUUGCGAUUAAGUGCAAGGAAGUCCAAAACGUUGCGUAUGGUGGGGAAUUAACUUGAGAUAUGACGUCAUCAGACGUGCUCUAACCAAAGAAGAAUUUAAUCUAUUAAUUAAAUUCAUGGUUGCAAUAUGUGGAAUUUUGAUUGUUAUGGCAUAUUUAAUUUCCUGAAAUCAUCCUCUCAUUCGUGUUUCCUUUCAAGAGAACAUUUAUUGCAAAAACUGUAUUUCAGUCUUUUCUGUUUUCGAAAUUCGUUCUCGUGCAGUUUGAGACACCAUGUCUAAAUAUUUCCUUGAAUGAAUCACCUUCGGAAUAAGUCAAGUAGGGACAUCUUUCUAUUUUUAACAGCCGCAUGACAUUUCGUCUAGUUGUAGCAUUUUCAUUGAAUUUUUAUCACAUUCUGGAAAAUACAGUGCGAAAGUACCGAAUAUAGCGUUAGUUCCAUUUAUAUCCGUAUGUUUUUGCUUAUAAUGGUUUCACGUAUGAAGACAAAUUGUGUUACCUCAGCGAAUAUACCCCAGAUUUGCGCCAGGUGUCUUCAGACGCCGACGAGAUAUGUUUAAAGACUUCAGUUCUUACCUUAAACCGUUGAGGAUCCCGUCUGUUCAAAAACUGUUUAAAAGUUUGACUUGCAAUGUUUCAAAAGUAACGUCCUUUUUCUAUGUACAUGUAUGUUUCAAACGACAAGAGCCGGUUUGGGCAGGAAGUUUCAUUGUACAACCCAGGGGUUUUGUCCACGUUAAGGGUGGAAACUUAGCAAAAGCGACGUUUACACAACUCGCAUCAUAAUUUGCAUCUUCCUUCUGCUCUAACAUGCCCACAGAGUCGAUGAAUGCAUGAUAGCCUUCCAAGAAUGAGUACCUAAAUUUAACUUUGAGACAAUGUUUGUCAAUAAGGUAGACAUAAGUGUCUGCCAAUGAAUUAACCAUUCCGACUUGCAUAAGUGUUUGCUCCUCAGUUUUUUUUUUGUUUUGUUUUGUUUUUGUUUCUGCAGGUGGUCUUCAAAAGAAAUCUCUUCAGCGAGCGUCGAAAUUCUGCAUCGGAGGCACAUUCGCGCUUCGCAAGCGAGGUUCAAUGUGUUCGAAACGAGGGAAACGACUGUAACUAUUAAUAUCUUCAAAAAAGCCACCAAGCUCGCGCUCCUAAUAAAAUAUACAUAACACUCUCCACACGUUCCUUGUCUUGCAUUUUCCCCUGCUUGUCAUUCGGUAUUCUUGCUGUUGAUUUUGUUUGUUUUCCUCUUAUUAAGGGAAGAGAGAAGAAGCUUAUGUAGGACCACGUAAGCUUAUCGUGAGCAAAACAGUUCAACAUGUUUUUAUAUGGUAUUUUUUCAAUUUACUGUGAUAUUCUGGUAAUCCCUUAUGAACAGAAAAGUUAAAUAUAACUUUGUCCAUUUGCUCGAGGUUUUGUUGGAGAUGUCAGUUGUCAUUCUUUGUUUCUUUAAUGAAGCUUUUUGUUUGAUAUUCAUUUUUGCUUUUCGUGACAGUAUUGGAUUUGGUGUGAAGGAAGUUUUCCAGAUAUAUCGAGCCGAGUUGCGAAACGACCUGGUUUUCAAAAUUGAUCCAGUCUGAGAUGUUAUAUUAUUUAUGAGCCCUGAAGCUACCAUCAAGAAAAACGUUAUCAAUUUUAAAGUUUAAAUAUCAAUAUUUUUCAUAGUAAUUGCCCUAUUUGCUUUCAUCCAGUAGUAGACCAAAAAUAUCCCCAGUUGACGGCUUUUUGAUAUCCUCAUAUCCUGUACCCUAGCUCUCAGCCUUGUCAAAUCCAUCGUAUAAUAACGCACGUCUUCUCAAAGUUCUGUUCUUCCUGCUAAGAAUUCAUUUUGCUGUUCUCCAAGGCCAGUACAAUGGAAGUGAAAAAGUAAUUAGUGAUAUGUGAUAAUACCUGUAAAGAUUAGAAGAAAACUAAAUGGUUUCAAAACAUAGUCCACCAUGCAGGAAACUGUGUAAUAAUUUCAGACAAGUCAUGCAAUUUCAAAAGCUACCAGUACACACUAUAGCUGUGAAUGCGUCUCUUGUUAGUUUAAUUUCCUGCUAAAAACAGCGUAGAGGACGAGAGAGUAUCGUACAAUGAAGUCAUGUCAUCGGUCACUUCUCUAACAGUCAUAUCAGUGUUUGAGUGAGCUGGAGGGAAACCUGGGGGAGGGGUUUCUGCGUGUGUUCUGAUUGGCCAUUAAGAACUGGAAUAUCUCGUCCCAAUGUUUCUCUCAAUUCAAAUUACAAAGUGUUUUGAUGAUGUAAAGACCGUGGCAGUUGACUCAAAAUUUGCGCCCAACAUAAAUAAUAAAUAAACUAAAUAAAUUAUAUUUAGAGAGGAAGCUACAUCAGCUUUAGCUAGCCUGCGUAGCAGGCGUAUAAAGGGGAGGGGAGUGGGGGAGAAGGAAGAGAAUUCGGGGAAAAAAAAAUAAAGGGUGGGGUCCUCGAAAUCUCUUCUCCUCCUCCACCCCAUCCCCUUUAUACGCCUACUACGCAGGCCACUUUAGCUGCCAAAAAAUACAUUAAAAAAGCCCUCCCUACUCCUCACACAAUAUCCAGUCUGUUUCUCUUGCGUGAACCCCACGAUUCGAACGCGCAGGACUCUCUCUUCUAAAUUGCCUGAUCCAUCUUAAUUUGAUUUCAUAUAACAUUGGUCUUUUUGUGCUGCCAUCAUCUCACUAAAAUCGUUUCUGGUCGUUAUCGCUACCAACCAAAUUUCUUCUGGUGCGAAAUCACUCUCGGUCAAUAAUUUCCAUUGCAAAUAUUCAAAAUGCACGUGCUGAUGCUGAUAAUUAUUCAUCUCAUGUUCAGUUAUCCGCCAUCGUCUUCGAUGGUUCCUGUUCCAUCCACGUUUCUACAAAAAGAGUGAAACGUUUGCUAACCUAACCUUGUAAAACCGACAGUUAUGAUGUUAGUGGAAAGAGACAGACAUGUUACGUGGCCGGGUAACGAUUAUUCGACCGAAACAACGAUAUAUUUGACAUGAUGACAAGGUACACGUGCCGAGGUUUAGUCGAGCUUGUACGGUUUCAGUGCGGCUGGUGCGUCUUCGUUUGAAGUUUGCCAGGCCGUUUACUUUGUGUGAGCAAACAAAAGGACUGAGGACUGCAAAUCAUAACUCGUUUGCCCGUGCCACCCGCACUGGUUCCAAAUCAGAGGAUAACCAAUGACGAGAGAACAUCGCACAAGUUUCACAAGCAACUUUACUACGUCAUGAAGUAUUAUACGAGCUGUUACAUGGCAUUUAACGGUAUCUCAGUUUCAAUCAAUUUUUAAGACGUAACGAAAAGAAAACCUGGGCUCAACUGUUCAAAUCGUGACUGGAAUUUGAGAAAAUUUUUAAGUCGACCACAAACAUGAUUCACACAAAGUAAUAACGAAAGGUUUCGGGCAAGAAUGUCCCCUUGAUUUUCGGUCAUUUUUGAAAUUAUUCAAAAAAAUCGCAGGAAAUAUUGCUUGCAAAUUAAGCCAGCUACUUUGUAUAUUGAGCACACUUUUCACUUGGCUCUGAAGAUAACUAACUUCUGCUGAGACUGUCGAAACGUCAACUGUCAACAUCAUGCAGUUCGUUUCAGAACUACCAGACGAUCACACAAGACGAACUACUGAUACUGGUGGGGUUAAAGAAGUUGCAUUAAUUUAUACCUGGAAAAUUUUGAAAACAGAAUUUAAUCGAAGCUAACACAACUGAGGAAACAAUGUGAACAAAUCUUGACAUUAAGCUCUGUGAUGUGCUUUUACUCCAGUACUUAACAUGGCAUGGCACUGUUUAACAUAAAAAGUUUGUCAAGGCGUAAUGAUAGAUUUUCAUAUGAUCGCUGGUAUUCACACUAUCAAGAGGUAAUUUUAAAGUCGAGCAUCGUUCAGUGCAAAAUUGGCAAUGUAAGUCGGCCCAAAU